rnacentral:rRNA from 1 species
GACAGAGGGGGCAGCGUUGCUCGGAAUUACUGGGCGUAAAGGGCGCGUAGGCGGAAUGGCAAGUCGGUCGUGAAAGCCCUCGGCUCAACCGAGGAAGUGCAUCUGAAACUGGCGAGCUAGAGUACUAAAGAGGGUCGCGGAAUUCCCGGUGUAGAGGUGAAAUUCGUAGAUAUCGGGAGGAACACCGGGUGGCGAAGGCGGCGACCUGGGUAGAUACUGACGCGUGA